CAAUCAGUUGGUGGUUCAGCCUUGAAACGUGCACUUGGCCUUCUAUAAAGCACUGUUUUGUUUGCCUUUCAGUGCUAUGAGUCUUGAUAAAUUGGAGAAGUGCCCAAGAGAAAUUCAUCAUCCUGAGAUACAAAAGGUAGGAAGUGACUUUUUCUGGUUUGGUUCUUUUUCUUUAUUGUUUUCUGGAAAUAGAAGUAAUUAAGUAUAGAUACUACUGGUUUGUUUCUUCCAGUAGCUGAUAAUACUAAUACCAAUAAUAAUAAUAAUAAUAAUAGUAAAGUAAUACUACUUCAACUGUCUUUAUUUAUCCAUUGAACUGGCCAUUUUAAAUCUAAACUUCUAAACACAAAUCAAACCAUCAUCCUUGUAGAAUCUUUAAUAGGAGUGGGCUAAAGAUCCUGGUUUUGUUGACAGGAUUUAUUGGUUCAUGAACAGCAAGAGGUAAGUACAAGCCUAACUACCCUCUAGCUCACAGACCUGCCCGGUGAAUAGAGCUUUGUUUUUUUGAUGGGCUUGUGAUGACUUUGAGAUCAAUUGCUCAUUCAUUACAGUAAAAAAAAAAAAAUUGUUUUGAACAUGACAGCAAAAAUAACUUUAAGCACAACUUAAUAAUAAUAAUAGAUCACCAAUUUUAGUUAAUAAUUUUAUGCUAUACUCUUGGGUGAGGGAAGACUCGGACACUCAAUAUGAGAUCAGCAAGCUAUGUUUAUUGCAGAGAGUAUCAGACACUUAUACAGCACAUAAUAAGCUUAUGAAUAUUCUGUAAGCCAAGCGAUCUAUUGGUUAAACUAUACCAUCAACUCUUCCUCAUUCCUUUGGGCCUACAUUCCCUAUUUCCCACGUCUCUCUGUCUACUUGUUAUCCUACCCAGCUAGGCCCAGGCACACGCUAUCUUGCAGGUGCAAAACUCAAAAAUACCUGUGUUCGGUACUUUCCCAGCUCCUGGUCGGCUAACGAGCGAAUGUCUGCGUGACCUCUGUCAUGGAGCCAUUUCUCCACACUAUACUAUCAAAGUUUAAAGGUAAAUUAUUAUAUAUUAGGAGAUGGUGUAAAGUGUAUGUUGUAAUGUGUAGGAUAUAUACAAAGAUACGUACUUGAAAGUCCGUAGAGGAAACAAAUUUUUACGCCUUCUGUUUGACUGUUUGUCAUAUAUUUGGUUUUAUUUCCCAGGGAUCAGUGAAUUUUAACUCUGGAGUCCUCUAUGCUAAGGAUGCUCAGCUUAGAGAUGAUGAAAUGUUCAGUAAUGUAUUUGCUGCAGCUCUGCUUACCCAAGCUUUGGGUUCCCUCUGUCUCACUGGGAGUUGCCCAAUUCAGUUGCAUCUGGUGAAAUUCACCCUGAGACCUUACAGAACCAGCUCCAACUACGUGAGAGCCAUUUGCAGUUCUCUCCAGACACCUGGAGAAUGGGCGACAUUUCUGAGAAUCCGGCGAGCGUGCUUCUAUCAAAACUCAGUCUGUGAAAUUCCUGGGGAAAACCCUUCUGUGUCCUGAAGGGUUCAAACUCUGGUGAGGAUCCAGUUAUCAGGUGCUCACCUGGAUGGUUCCAGCUCUUAAAGUGAACACUUGUACUCUUGCCCUGUAGUUUACAUCUAUUGUAUUUUUGUUAUUUUGCAGGAUUUUUUGUCUUUGCAAAA